CAGCCUGAGUUAAAUGGCACGUCCUCUUCUGGCUCUCUCCAUCAGGAUACAGCAGGACAGGCCGAGCUCACAGAUGAGUUUCUCCAUCAGUGUGCUAACAGUAACUCUGAUAUGGCUGAGGUUGUGGAACAGAUUAACCACAGUUUCCCUGCAUGCUCUCCGUCAAGUGUGUCCUCAAGGCCGAAGGUGAUGUGAAGGUUUCCAGCAGAACAUCCCUUUGGAAAUCUUGCGGACAUUAAGAGCAGUCUCGAACUCGACAUGACAAGAAGAUUCCCGGCUGUUCCCUCGACAGAGAUGUUCGUCCUCGAACCCAAAGACUCUGGAACAGGACCACACAGUUCAUUCAUUGGCUAUUACUACUGCGUCUGUCUGUACUAUGCAACUGUACAUUUGAUCAACAUGUAGAUUGUACGUGGUGAGGUGUAUCUGCCCAUUGUUUUAAUACUCGGAUGAUUAUUUAGGGUUAUGGGGGCCAUUUAUUGUAUAACCUGUAUGCUUUUAUUUCUGCGUUCACCAAGGAACCGCACUGCUACCACAUAUCUCACAUGCAGCUCACAUCAGUUGCUGUUCAAACUGACACGUUGUCUUUCUACAGACGUGGUUAUUAGUUUAAUCAGAAAACGAUGUGAACGUCAGUGGAUAUGAAGACGAAUCGAUCUCGUAAUGCUAAACUGUUAGCGCAUGUUGCCCCCCAGCAUUAUUCUCUUCAACUUUAGCCGGUUUUGACAGUGUUUGCCGUGAACUCUCCCUUUAAAGCAUUGUUUCGACAGUUUGUUCCGCGGGUAGCAGCGCAUCUGAACCCUCACUGCAUUUCUAGAGCGCACGCACAGAUGAUGUACAACACAAACAUUCGAACGUGUCGAAAACACCCUUUUGUGCCUAUAAAGCAUCCAUUCCAGGAGAGACGAGUGGCUGAGAGAUGCCGUAUUUCUCAAAAUUAUGUAGAAAAAUUAUAUUAUAAAAAGACAAAGUGUAGGAAAUGGGGAUUUUUAGGACGUUUGGCCCAAGAUGAUUUAUCUUUGUGUAGUAUAGUUUUAUAAAUGUUUAAAAAAAUGUAUUUAGAGAAAGCCAUGAUUGCCUUGCUACCUCAGACGUGAUCAGUCAUUCAUUGGUGUGACUGUCGAUUGAUUUCACUCUCCACUUCCAAAAACAAGGCUAAGGAAAGGUCGUUCCAUAAUGUUGCACUUGCUACGCAAGUAAGCUGCCCCGAUGACUACAUUGUGUUUUUCCCUUGUUUUCCCGGCAGUCCUUUGAUUUUUCUACAUGGUGUAUUUGUGGUGUGCUACCUUCAGUGAAGUGUUAGAUUUGAACAUUACUGGAACACCUGCGAAACAUUGUUCUGAAGUUGAUUCUAGUGAAGUCACCGUCACCGACACUGUGCUGUUCUGACCCGAGAUAGAUCGAGAAGACCGAACACACUACAUGUAAUGAGGUUCCAUAUGUUUUAUUAAAAAUAAAGUUUUUAUAAUGAGUGUUUUCUUGUGCUUUUU